UUGAAGUAAUUAUCACUUUUAUAUCCCUUGAAUGUUGUAAUAGAACUAUGCAAGAGCUGAAACACAUUGAAUAUAUAUGAGGCGGGAAGGAAGAGCGAAUACAAAUUUUGAGCAGCUCUUCCCACAGCUUUAUACUUUAUUUUCUGGCGUUGAACAAGAUCUCUGUUCGGAGGGUUGCUCGCGAGGGCGAGAGACACAAUUUCACGGUUUCCAAUAUUUACCAAUUAACGUGCUAUAUCUUUCAGGUUCCUUUCAGAGGAACUCAUUUCAGGCAAUGGACAAAAGACUUGAACAUGGUGCCAAGGCCUCGCAAUUGCCUUCUAAUGGAAUUGGAUCCAGGUUCUCCAAUUUGGAAAAGUCUUUCAAAUAUUCUAUCAGAUCUUUGCUCACUUCAUGCUCAAAGGAGGAAUUUUAUAAAGCAUUUUCAAGUUUCUCUAACACUGAAAGGGAAUUUCUCCAUCGCCUAUUUCUUCAGGUCAUUACUUCAUUGCAUGAAAACUUAGAGGAAGGGUUUCAGACAAUCUGUCUUCAAACACAGGCAGGAGCCACUCUUGAUGCUGUGGAGGAAAUUGUGGAAGAACAAGAUCUAGAUGUCCUGUUUUCGGAUAGGAGUAAUAUAACGGAUGUUUCUGAGAAUCUGUCUAUGGCUAAGAAGAAAGAAAUUCAACACUUAAUGCAUAUGGUUCAAUCGUAAUAGACAAAAAGUUUGUGACCCUUGGUCCUGUGGACUCCAGGAACAGCCUUCCACUUUGUCAUGAACCUAACAAUUAUUCCUUGGAGCGUAACAGUGAUAACCUUUGUCUACAACUCGACAUACAAUUUAAGGGAGAGGAACAUAAUCAAGUGUUGCGCACCCGACUGCAAAUGCUUAGGGAAGACAACAAAGUAUUAUCUGGUGCUUCCCAAGCUGUCAAGAAGUUCAAGAGCAUGAACUUAAAUUAUGGAGCCAACAGCGGCGAUGGGAUCCAUGAUGUAUAACGUAACUUGUAUGUUCUCCUGCAAAUUUGAUGAAGGUUCCUUUUUAUUCAUUUUAGUUUUUACUCUGUUUUAUUUUUUAUUAUCGUUUUACACUAGUAAGAAGGAACUAGUUACUUUAAGUGAAUGUAGCUUGUGUCACUACUAAGAAAAUGAAUGUUACUACCUUUGUAUAUGACCAUUAAUUUAAAGUUCUGUGAAGAAAGAACUACCUUUUGUUAAAAUCAA